rnacentral:rRNA from 1 species
GUGCCAGCCGCCGCGGUAAUACCGGCAGCACAAGUGAUGGCCGAUAUUAUUGGGCCUAAAGCGUUCGUAGCUGGCCGGACAAGUCCGUUGGGAAAUCCACGCGCUCAACGUGUGGGCGUCCAGCGGAAACUGUCCGGCUUGGGGCCGGAAGACCCGAGGGGUACGUCCAGGGUAGGAGUGAAAUCCUGUAAUCCUGGACGGACCGCCGGUGGCGAAAGCGCCUCGGGAGGACGGACCCGACAGUGAGGGACGAAAGCCAGGGUCUCGAACCGGAUUAGAUACCCGAGUAGUCC